GCCUGUUCGAGCGUCAUUUCAACCCUCAAGCUCUGCUUGGUAUUGGAUGCCAUCACUUGGUGCAUCUCAAAAGCAUUGGCGGUAGCAUUUAGCUUCUAGUGCAGUAAUUUUCUCGCUUGGAGUCUAGAGGUCUGCCUGCUAGAACACUUAAAUUUACCAAGGUUGACCUCGGAUCAGGUAGGGAUACCCGCUGAACUUAA
rnacentral:misc_RNA from 1 species